ACAUAAGGCCCCUGCAUGCCAGGGCCUCCGGAGACCAAGGGUGCUUCUGCAGCGCUUGCAAGAACGUUAUGAAACGCUCCGAGGCCUUGCUUUGCGCCGCCAGAGCAAGGUUAGAGAACUUUUGGACAACU
rnacentral:snoRNA from 1 species